rnacentral:rRNA from 1 species
GAUGAACGCUGGCGGCGUGCCUAAUACAUGCAAGUCGAGCGAACGGACGAGAAGCUUGCUUCUCUGAUGUUAGCGGCGGACGGGUGAGUAACACGUGGAUAACCUACCUAUAAGACUGGGAUAACUUCGGGAAACCGGAGCUAAUACCGGAUGAUAUUUUGAACCGCAUGGUUCAAAAGUGAAAGACGGUCUUGCUGUCACUUAUAGAUGGAUCCGCGCUGCAUUAGCUAGUUGGUAAGGUAACGGCUUACCAAGGCAACGAUGCAUAGCCGACCUGAGAGGGGGAUCGGCCACACUGGAACUGAGACACGGUCCAGACUCCUACGGGAGGCAGCAGUAGGGAAUCUUCCGCAAUGGGCGAAAGCCUGACGGAGCAACGCCGCGUGAGUGAUGAAGGUCUUCGGAUCGUAAAACUCUGUUAUUAGGGAAGAACAUAUGUGUAAGUAACUGUGCACAUCUUGACAGUACCUAAUCAGAAAGCCACGGCUAACUACGUG